GGACAUGCAGAAGCUGAUUCCAUGGCCAUAUUCAUUCGCUUGAGACACAAUUAACCAAUCACGUUCUGUACAGAUGUCAUAUACGCUUUACGUUAAAGUGAUAACCUCCGAAAAAAAAAACUCACAUCGACUCUGGAACUUUCUCUCCUUCAGCACUCAACAAGUUUUACGUGUCAUCUUUAUCUUAGACUUAUUUCACACAGUUAUGAGCACACGGUUCACUACCUUAUAGUAACACGUUAUGGCAGAAUGCACUCCUAGCUUUCUGAGUCAACCUCAAUCAUUGACUAAGCACGCGUCUAUCUUAGUUUUGUUUUGAAAAGAAAAGAAUCUCUUAGUUCCCAUUUCAUUCAACUAAGCGAAAAUAGCAGAUGGCAACAUACUCUAAAAAGAUAGCGGUUUCAUCUCGGCACUGUUUGAGUGGAUUGUUUCCACCGCGAAGUUAACAGCUCGAACAACCUGCGAGAAUCUUCUGUACCAAGUAACCGGUCGCAGCAUCGACGCUCAAUUUCACACACAACAUGUGUCACCACAGCUCUGCUCCUUGGUCACGACUUCUUGUACAGACAUUCUACUUGUGUAGCUCUUCUAUGAACUGGUAUUUUUCUAAUUCUGUGUUUACGACGCUUAUAGUCUCUCACAGACUCUUAUUCCAUGUUCUGUAUUUCUCUCUCACUUACACACAUUGUUGUAUACACAUUCUUUACACGACGGUCCGUCAUACACAUUGUAUUGUUUAUAUUGCCGCAUGCACGCACACACAGACACACUGUUCACUAUGUUAAUAAACUUACUCUCUUUAUAUAUCUAA